GGGCCGAUGGCGCAGGGGUUAGCGCACCCGCCUGAUAAGCGGGAGGUCGGUGGUUCAAAUCCACCUCGGCCCACCA
rnacentral:tRNA from 3 species